CCUGAGCCGCUCUGCUUACACAAUGAGCAAAUGUUUGAUGUUCGGCCUUUUAAUUUUCACUCUAUAUCCAGGUGCGGUGCUGGGUGACUCGGUCCAGCCCAGGGAACCCCAGAUGUCUGGAGCUGAAGGCGGCUCCGUGACCCUCAGCUGUUCUUAUGAAACCAGCUACGCUGCCGGUGUCUAUCUCUACUGGUACCAUCAAUACCCGAACCGAGCCCCGCAGUACAUCCUGCGGAGGGGAACGAAGGAAGACAGAUCUGGCAGUGAUACCGCAGAUUUCGCCCAGCAGAGGUUUUCUUCCCAGGCUGAUGGCAACUCCACUGCUCUGAGCAUCACAGCGCUGGAGCUGGCCGACACAGCGGUGUAUCUCUGCGCCCUGCAGCGGGCACAGUGACAGAGCCUCACAGCAGAGCUGUACAAAAAC